CGAGUGACCAAUCAGGUACAUGCUGUCAAAAUCAGCUCCGAACUGGCGAUGCAGCUCCCUGGUGAACUGGGCCAACUGGGCGCCAAAGGUCUCGAUUAGAUUGACCACCGAGAAAUACGCGUCCUUCACAUCCCGGUUGAAGGAGCCGCGCGACUGACUCAUCCAGCCGUGGAUCAUCAGUCUGGUGGGCAGGGAGGCAUUGAAGCCGGAGUGCCUCCACUUGCGCUCGUCCGAGAAGUCCAGCUCCCUGCCGCACUCGGGGAACUCCCUCUUGAAGAGGUAGAACUGCAUGCGGAGCUUCUUGGUGCCGAAGGGAUUCAGGUUGCUGGCUAUCUUUUUCACGAAGGACAGGUCCAAAAACUUGCGAAUGCCCCGCGACUCUUUAAGGUCCUUGUCACACUGAUUCCACUCGUAGUGCUUGGCUCCCUCGUACUCAUCGUCCAGGUUGGCCAGAAUAUCGUCCACCUCCGGUUCGGUUGAGAUGUCCGAUCGCUGUCCCAAUCCAGCGGGCGUAUCAUCCAGGUUCGGCAGGGCAGCCAUGAACUCACUCAUCUCGUUAUCAUAGUCGCCCUCGACUGCGUUUCCAUUGCCACUGGGCUUGCCUUGAGCUAAUUGCAGCAAAACUGCAAGUGUUUUAGGCCACAUUUUGUGUCGAUUUAUUGGCUCAGCUGCAACCGGAGAAGAUAUCGAUUCCACCUGCUAUUGCACUCUGUUGAUCUGUUCGAUCGGGCUAGCUGGUUUUAUAUGCCGCCGAGAGUGAGAGCCUAUUGGUAGAGCCAUGCAUUCUGGGUUUUCAUAGAUCAACUCCCAUCAGCGCGUCAUACCUGGUAGCAACUCGCGAAUAAAUCGCACUGAUCAAGCGAUUAGCCCGCUCAGAGCAGUGGAGGAGCUCGAGGGGGGCAGUUAAUGAUGGGAAAAACUAGUCUCCAACGAGGCUAAAGUGGCCAAAUCUAAUAAAAACUUGCAUAUUAUACCAUUUA